GAGUGGUACCCGGUGGUGGCUGUGCAGCCAGACACCCAGCAUCAGAGCUGCCAUGCUCAUCAGGCUGUGCUUGCCUAACCUGGGCUCUUCUCCGUGUUUCCAAACAGCCCAGAGGUGUGCACAACCACCUUUGUUGUAAGGGGUUUUGAUAGCAGAUGAUGUGCUGAGAAGCAGCCUGGCCCUUUUGCCAGAGCUGCAAGUGGCUGAAGCUGGGAUGUGGUGGGCAGCAGGGCAGGAGGAAGGUGAUUUGGUUCUUUAGGGACUCGGAAAUAUCACCAAACCUGGGGCUAAACAGGGUAUGCUCUUUCCUACCCAGAUGUCUAAUCAGAAACAAAUCCUGCAAUUGUAUCAGCUAGAAACUGAAGCUUCCUGCUGUCCACUGAGGAGUAAAACAAGGCUCAGUUCCUGGGCCUGCUCUGCUGACACACUCUUGGUUUUCCUCUCCUCCUUAGCCACCGGAGGGCAGGCAGGAAUCCUGUAAUUACCAACCACUGCGGAAGAAAAGCACUGGAAUAAUUAAAAAGCAAUUAAUGUUUGCACUGCUGGAUCUGCUGUGGCAUUGCUCUUUCCAGUUGCAUGCUCUGCCUCUGGUCCCCUCGCCACCUACUUCACUUUGUAGAUUUUCCUUUAUCAGUUGCUUUUCAUUUUCAUUCGAGCUAGCUGUGAGAGCUGAAGUACAAGUUCAGAUUAAGUUACUGCUGAGACGUGCUUUGCUUGGGGGGAUUAUGGAGUUGGCUGUGAUGUGUUGGCUGCCAGGUAAGGUAAGAAAAGGCAAAGCCUUUUAGCAGGCUGCGAUCAGACAGAAGCCUUUGUGUCCCAGGGCUGGAAAUAUUGCUGCGGGGUCAAACGCUCCUAAGCUCAGCACUACACUGGUGUAACCAUUACAGCUUCAUUAUGGAACUGGUCGAUCCUUGGUGAACUGGAGCUUCUGGAUCAGCUCUGUAGAGCUGUCAACACUGGUGAAGAUUCAAGCAGCAACUGGAGAAGAACAAAGACUGUUGUCAGUGGUCUUUCAAUUUGAUGCAGGUCCUGAGUGUAGCAGAGAGAAAAAUUGGAACUCUGAGAUACCAGCUUUUUCAAUUGCUUGGGUGAGCUCAAUUUCUGUAAUUACUUCCUCCAGGAAGCUCCCCAGCUGUGGCUGUUGUUGUGCAUGUUGAGGAGAUGCAUCACUGAAGGAUUAAAAAACAACUGCUGUGAGCUGGGAAGCAAAGCAGGCCAGGACUAGAAGCUGCCAUGGAAGGAGAGGCACAUGAUGAAGUCUCCGGAGCUGCUUGCUGAUGGGACCCACUGCCACCAUCCUGCACCCUGCUCUGGGCACACAGAGACCUUCUGCACUGCCCGAGUCUACCAGGAAACAGCCCGGAAACCUCAGACGAGCCUGGAAGCCAAAUUCCCUCGGACGUGCCUGAGGGUGCUUGCAAGUCUGACUGCCAGCUGCCAUGUGCCCAAAUCCUCUGUGAGAGUCAUUGCAGGUAGGAAACCUCAGUGGAUCCCAUCACUGCUUGUGCUGCUGGGUGCUGCAAGGCCGGGUUCCAGCAGGGCACUGCCUGCCUGUGCUAUAGCACUGCAGCAUCCCUGCCUGCAGGGAACGAUGUCCAUUGGAGAGGAGAGACAACUGUGCUGCUGGCAACGGCGGGCAGACAAUCCUCUCCCACGGAUCCCCCAGGCAUCCCCAGUCCCACUGCCAUCUGCACUGGGGCUUUCAGUCUUUGCGCACAGAGGGUGGCAGACAGCCCUGCUGUGUGCUGCUUACGCACAUCAGAGACUCAGCCCUGCUCCCCUGGGCUUUGAGGGCUGAGCUCACCACUCAGAUGGGCAUUUGGGAAUUGGCUGUAAAAAUACAACCGGUCCUCGGCAAAGAAGCUGAAUUCCUCUGGGUGCGCUGCGCAGGGCCUAGGGCACCAUGGAAAGUGUCUUUUCUGGGCAGCAUGAGCCCUCGGUGUCAGCAGAAGAGUCACUGCCUGGGGCUGUUCUGAGCAAGAUGGCUGGAAAGUGCCUCUUGGAA